rnacentral:rRNA from 1 species
UACGAAGGGGGCUAGCGUUGUUCGGAAUUACUGGGCGUAAAGGGCGCGUAGGCUGUGCUGUAAGUCAGGCGUGAAAGGCCCGGGCUCAACCUGGGAACUGCGCUUGAUACUGCGGCGCUUGAAGACGGGAGAGGAUGGCGGAAUUCCCAGUGUAGAAGGUGAAAUUCGUAGAUAUUGGGAAGAACACCGGUGGCGAAGGCGGC